CAAAGGUCAAGGGGCGGGGCCAGGGGCAGCACUGUGCUGCGUGCCCCGUGUGCCCCCCCCGGCCGUCACAUGGCCAUCCAUGUCCUCUCGUCGCCUUGUCCCCACAUCCCCCUGUCUCUGGGCUCCCUGUUCCCACCUCCCACUGUCCCCACAUUCCCAUUUCAUGUGCUCGUGUCCCACUAGCCCCACACCCCUGUGUCCGCGCAUUGCCCUAGCCCCGCUGUCCCCACGUCCCCUCAUCUCCUGUCCCAUUCCUUCUAGCCCCACGUCCACGUGUCCCCUCGUUUCGCUGUCCCCAUAUCCCUAUCCCAUGUGCUCUGUGUCCCCGUCCCCACAUCCCCGUCUCCACAUCCACAUGUCCCCGCAUCCACAUCCCACUGUCCUCGUGCCCCCACAUCACCCUGUCCCCACAUCCGCACAUCCCCACUGUCCCCAUGUCCCCCUAGUCCCACAUCCCCCUGUCCCAUGUCCUCCAUGUCCCCUCGUCCCCCUGUCCCCACAUCCCCAUCCCGUAUGCUCCGUGUCCCCCUAGCCCCACAUCCGCAUGUCCUCACAUCCCCAUGUCCCCCAUCCCCAGAUCCCCCUGUACCCUUAUCGCUGUGUCCCCACAACCCCCUGUCCCCAUGCCCCACAGGCACCCAUGUCCCUACAGCCCAUGUGUGUCCCGUGUCCCGUGUCCCCCAUCCCUGUGUCGCCUCCCAGGCCACCACCACCCACGCUGGGCUGGGGCCGGGUGGGGACCGGGCAGACCGGCCGUGCAGCCCCAUGACGACAUUGUCACCUGUCACUGUCCCUGUCACCGUCCCCCCCAUCCCUGGGGAUUUAAGGGCAGUUCCGCAGCCCCACAGCACUGACAGGAGCGUGUGGCAGGAUGUGUGCGGGUGCCCAGUGUCUGCUGAACCUGCUGCGCUGGGCCUGGGGGGUCCUGCGGGGCCUCUUUGGGGGGCACAGCGUGAGCCCCCCGCACCCACCAGCUGAGAGGACAACACUGGUUCCUGGCAAAGAGGACUGAGACCCCCAAACAUCCUCCUGGACACCCCGAGGACCCUCAAUACCGGCUCCCCAGACCCCCACCCCACUCCCCAGCUGAAUAAAUGACCUUGACACCGUG